GCUUUGUUUCAAUAUAGUCCCCAGUUCUAGUAGGAAGUUUUAUUCCUUCUAUAUUAGGAUUGUUUCUAAUUGAUGCUGCAAGUGGUUCUGCUUGCAGGAUAUAUAACAUCGGGGCUAUUGGGCAUCCUUGACGAAUUGAACGGGUUAUGCCUACGAAUCUAGAAGUAAACCCAUUCGUAUGAAUACACGUCUUGGCGUUAAUGAAAAGCAUUUUUACCCAACUCCUGAAUUUUUCCCCAAACCCAAAUUUUAAUAAGCAAAAAUCGAUCCAUUCCCAUUCCGCCCUAUCAAAUGCUUUUUGUUGAUCCAAAAAUAAUAUUGCACCCUCCUCAUCUUCUAAUUCACAAAAAUCUAUAACAUCUUGUAGUAAUCUAUUGCCUUGAAAAAUGUUGCGCCCUUUGACAAACCCUUUUUGAUCGAAAUCAAUUAUUUGCGGUAAUACAUUUUUUAACCUUUCCGCGAGUACUUUGGAAAUAAUUUUAUAGUCCGUGUUCAAGAGCGUUAUAGGACGCCAAUUUUUUUAUGUCUUCUCUCUCCCCAGACUUAAACAUAAGCGUAAUCAUACCUCUAUAUUGAGAUUCACAGAGCAAAUUGUUGUCAAAGAUUUCCUUAAUAACCGCCACGAAGUCGUCCUUUAUCAAAUACCAAUAUAUUUUGUAAAAUUCAUUUACAAUUCCGUCUUCCCCAG
rnacentral:lncRNA from 1 species